rnacentral:tRNA from 1 species
AGGGGAAUGGCUCAGUGGUAGAGCACAUGCUUAGCAUGCAUGAGGUCCUGGGUUCAAUCCUCAGUACCUCUA